GAUGAACGCUGGCGGCAUGCCUAAUACAUGCAAGUCGAACGAAGUCUUUAGGAAGCUUGCUUUCCAAAGAGACUUAGUGGCGAACGGGUGAGUAACACGUAGGUAACCUGCCCAUGUGCCCGGGAUAACUGCUGGAAACGGUAGCUAAAACCGGAUAGGUAUGAGGGAGGCAUCUUCCGUCAGUACUUAAAGCACCUUCGGGUGUGAACAUGGAUGGACCUGCGGCGCAUUAGGCUGGUGUGAGGUAACGGCCACAAGGCGAUGAUGCGUAGCCGACCUGAGA
rnacentral:rRNA from 1 species